UACGAAGGGGGCUAGCGUUGCUCGGAAUCACUGGGCGUAAAGGGUGCGUAGGCGGGUCUUUAAGUCAGGGGGGAAAUCCUGGAGCUCAACUCCAGAACUGCCUUUGAUACUGAAGAUCUUGAGUUCGGGAGAGGUGAGUGGAACUGCGAGUGUAGAAGUGAAAUUCGUAGAUAUUCGCAAGAACACCAGUGGCGAAGGCGGCUCACUGGCCCGAUACUGACGCUGAGGCACGAAAGCGUGGGGAGCAAACAGG
rnacentral:rRNA from 1 species